UACGUAGGGUGCAAGCGUUGUCCGGAAUUAUUGGGCGUAAAGGGAGCGUAGGCGGCCUGUCGCGUCUGCUGUGAAAUCCCGGGGCUUAACCCCGGGCGUGCAGUGGAUACGGGCUGGCUGGAGGCAGGCAGGGGAGAAUGGAAUUCCUGGUGUAGCGGUGAAAUGCGCAGAUAUCAGGAGGAACACCCGUAGCGAAGGCGGCACUCUGGGCCGAUACUGACACUGAGGAGCGAAAGCGUGGGGAGCGAACAGG
rnacentral:rRNA from 1 species